rnacentral:rRNA from 1 species
GACGAAGGGGGCUAGCGUUGUUCGGAAUUACUGGGCGUAAAGCGCGUGUAGGCGGUUGCCCAAGUCGGGUGUGAAAGCCUUGAGCUCAACUCAAGAAAUUGCACUCGGUACUGGGUGACUAGAGGACCGGAGAGGAUAGUGGAAUUCCCAGUGAUAGUGGUGGAAAUAACGUAGAGAUUGGGAAGAACACCAGUGGCGAAGGCGGCUAUCGUGGGACGGUUUCUGACGCUAAGAC